UGUAAUAGCAAAUAUGCCUAUGCAUAAGGGGAAAAAAAGACAAUAGUAACAUCCUAUCAGGUCUGCUUAAGUGGUUCACACACACAAACCAGAGCUGAGGGUGCAAACUGAAUUGCCUAGUGAAAAUAAGCAGACUGAGAAACCAGAAGAAUUUCUUUUGCUGGGAAGAGGAGUGAGAUGAAGGCAGAAAAGAUUUCUGAGCUUGUUCAAAAGGAAGCAAGGAAAGUAUUUCCAGCUGAAGAUUUCGGACUUAGAGAUGAAAUCACUGCUGCUAAGCUUGGCUGUUCUCUAAGGGAUUGAAGCAAAGUCGGAAAGGCUGCCGGGUUUGCGUGUCGUAGGCAAAGAAGAGCAGACACAAAGUCAUGUUCAUCCCUGCUCUGUUCAGCACGUAAGAGGACUGCAAUCUGGAUUUCAAAAAAAUCAAUGUCACAUUCUGCUGCGAGGGUCUUGGCAGAUACGUGAAGCAAAUCGCAACCACACUGAAGCUUUACUCAUUCAGGCGACCUUUUGCAAAACAGAUGACAUUGGAGAUGCCCCAGAUAAAAGAAAUCCAAUUCAAUAAAUGUAGCAUGCUCCAUUAUUUGAUGUAGUCCAACCUGAAAUAAACAAGGUCCUGAUUCUCUAUCAUUAAAAAAAUAGUAAUCCCAGAACACUUCUAGCAGGAGAAGAAGCUUGUGUUGAUAAUGUCUCACUUCUGCUUACCUAUGUCAGAGAAAAAUUAAUUCAAGCUGGAACGGAUGCUGGAAAGAAGGUCUAUUAGAAUUAUGAGAAAAAGAAAGGUUAACAGACAGAAGACUAUUCAAAGGGCAUUGUUAGGAAAAGGAGUAUGAAUGUUCUCUAAAAAAACAUCAGGGUGCAGGGUAUGAUAUCAGGAGAGAAGAACUACUUAAAAUAUUGGACAAGUAGGAGAGGUGUUCACUGGAGCACUUGACCAGGAUUCAAAAGACUCAGCUUCAGCUGCAUCCCCAUUGAAAUGUGGAUAGUGACCUGCAGUUUCUUUCUGCCCAAGCAGGUACCCAAAUCCGUAGGUGAGAGGCAUGUUUAUUCUCUCUCCAGUAGUUUCACAUGAAGCGGAACUAGUGUAAGAGAAGAAACAGAGUGUGCCCCACAGUCUUUUACACCAGAAUGCUGCAGCCUCGUGGCUUCCCAGUUAUUGCACCCCCAAAAAUUAUGAAUGCUCCAGCUUCUUCCCAAGAAGAAGUUGAGAAAAGGUUGUUUUAGCAAAAUAUAUCCUUUUACAGAGCCUUCAUCUCCAAUGCAAUAUAACACACUCCGCUUUGGUAAGGCUUGUAUUUCUUUGGGGAUUUCUGGAGCUGGAUGGUCAAAACAUUUUCCUUCAUAAGAGGUAUAACAAGAGAGAACUGAACCAGAAGCUCCCGGUUCAGUAACUGAGUUGUCACAUACAAUCUAUUUCUGUCCUCUUUUUUCUGUGAGAUACUGCCUUCGGCACCGGACCCUGGGAAAGGAUGCAGGAGCCUGAAGGGAGCCAGGCACCUUCCUCUUCGUUAGGGAAAGGCAUCCAGGCUCUAAAGAGGGCAAAAUGUAAGACAGACAUCUCUGCUUUUUUUUUCCUUUUUGGUUAGGUAAGCUAGCUGCCUGGCAGAGCCAGCCAGCUGGCUUGUAUGGAUCCCUUAGGCACGUAUCCGUCUCCAUGGAUUAUACAGAGAACCUAAGCCUGAAAAAACUUCUGUAUUCUACCUUGUUGAUGGCUUCAUGACACCAGUAUGCAAGAUUUAAGAGUAUGAGAAGAAAAAGUUGUGACAGAUGUUAGUCAAGUUGCUUCAUGCUCUACUGGAAGGUCCUCAGAUGACAGAGUGUAGCCUAGUUUAUAAAUUUCUGGAUGCUGAUGGUAGAGAUCAUAUAAGGCCAUGGUUUAAUGGAGGUUCUUGCUUACAUAAAUCUAGCUGUAAAUCUUGCAGUCCAGUUGAGGUUAUUGUACAGAACACAUCUUUAUUCUAUUUUACAAUCUAUCUUAUACUUUCGGUGUGUAUAUACAUAGCCUGUAAAUU